GACGAACGCUGGCGGCGUGCUUAACACAUGCAAGUCGAACGGAAAGGCCCUGCUUUUGUGGGGUGCUCGAGUGGCGAACGGGUGAGUAAAACGUGAGUAACCUCCCCUUGACUUUGGGAUAACUUCAGGAAACUGGGGCUAAUACCGGAUAGGAGCUCCUGCUGCAUGGUGGGGGUUGGAAAGUUUCGGCGGUUGGGGAUGGACUCGCGGCUUAUCAGCUUGUUGGUGGGGUAGUGGCUUACCAAGGCUUUGACGGGUAGCCGGCCUGAGAGGGUGACCGGCCACAUUGGGACUGCGAUACGGCCCAGACUCCUACGGGAGGCAGCAGUGGGGAAUAUUGCACAAUGGGCGGAAGCCUGAUGCAGAAACGCCGCGUGCGGGAUGACGGCCUUCGAGUUGUAAACCGCUUUCGCCUGUGACGAAGAGUGAGUGACGGUAAUGGGUAAAGAAGCACCGGCUAACUACGUG
rnacentral:rRNA from 1 species